GUGACAUUCCAGUCAUUUGGCUGGUCUGCUUUUGCCCAACACGGGAGAAUAGUGGAUAGACCAGAAGGAGAAAAGAAGUCUUACAUCAGACACCCGUUGUCCAUCGUGGAAACAAGAGGAAAUCUGAAAUAUUAAAAGAAGUCUCUGAGAUAAACUGCAGCCCAACAGGAGAGCAUCUGCUUUGCUUUCUGCUGGAGGACACUGCUGGAACUUCUCUGUCCGUAUUGGCAAAUAUUCUUAAGAUCCAGCAAGAUGGUUGUUUUGAGGAUGGGAGAAGCCCUUGGGUGGCCUUUGAAUAUCCAAAAGCGCUGACUUGCUGCCAACCUGCUGGGAUCUCCACAGCGACCAAGGACAG